rnacentral:rRNA from 1 species
CGGGUGAGUAACGCGUGAGGAACCUGCCUCAAAGAGGGGACAACAGUUGGAAACGACUGCUAAUACCGCAUAAGCCCACGGCUCGGCAUCGAGCAGAGGGAAAAGGAGUGAUCCGCUUUGAGAUGGCCUCGCGCCCGAUUAGCUAGUUGGUGAGGUAACGGCCCACCAAGGCGACGAUCGGUAGCCGGACUGAGAGGUUGAACGGCCACAUUGGGACUGAGACACGGCCCAG